UUAGGUAAAUCCGGCUCUCUCUAAGGCUGAGACACGACGUCGAGCUGCUACGGCAGUGAAGUCAUUGAUGCCAUGCUUCCAGGAAAAGCCUCUAAGCUUCAGAUAGUCAGGAAUCGUACCCCAAACCGACACAGGUGGUCGGGUAGAGAAUACCAAGGCGCUUGAGAGAACUCGGGUGAAGGAACUAGGCAAAAUGGUACCGUAACUUCGGGAGAAGGUACGCUCUUGAUGGUGAAGUCCCUCGCGGAUGGAGCUGACGAGAGUCGCAGAUACCAGGUGGCUGCAACUGUUUAUUAAAAACACAGCACUGUGCAAAAUCGCAAGAUGACGUAUACGGUGUGACGCCUGCCCGGUGCCGGAAGGUUAAUUGAUGGGGUUAGCGCAAGCGAAGCUCUUGAUCGAAGCCCCGGUAAACGGCGGCCGUAACUAUAACGGUCCUAAGGUAGCGAAAUUCCUUGUCGGGUAAGUUCCGACCUGCACGAAUGGCGUAAUGAUGGCCACGCUGUCUCCACCCGAGACUCAGUGAAAUUGAAAUCGCUGUGAAGAUGCAGUGUACCCGCGGCUAGACGGAAAGACCCCGUGAACCUUUACUACAGCUUGGCACUGAACAUUGAACCUACAUGUGUAGGAUAGGUGGGAGGCUUUGAAGACGUGACGCCAGUUGCGUUGGAGCCGUCCUUGAAAUACCACCCUUGUAUGUUUGAUGUUCUAACUUAGACCCGUUAUCCGGGUUGAGGACAGUGCCUGGUGGGUAGUUUGACUGGGGCGGUCUCCUCCCAAAGAGUAACGGAGGAGCACGAAGGUGGGCUAAUCACGGUUGGACAUCGUGAGGUUAGUGCAAUGGCAUAAGCCCGCUUAACUGCGAGAAUGACGGUUCGAGCAGGUGCGAAAGCAGGUCAUAGUGAUCCGGUGGUUCUGUAUGGAAGGGCCAUCGCUCAACGGAUAAAAGGUACUCCGGGGAUAACAGGCUGAUACCGCCCAAGAGUUCAUAUCGACGGCGGUGUUUGGCACCUCGAUGUCGGCUCAUCACAUCCUGGGGCUGAAGUCGGUCCCAAGGGUAUGGCUGUUCGCCAUUUAAAGUGGUACGCGAGCUGGGUUUAGAACGUCGUGAGACAGUUCGGUCCCUAUCUGCCGUGGGCGUUGGAAGAUUGAAGGGGGCUGCUCCUAGUACGAGAGGACCGGAGUGGACGAACCUCUGGUGUUCGGGUUGUGUCGCCAGACGCAUUGCCCGGUAGCUAAGUUCGGAAUUGAUAAGCGCUGAAAGCAUCUAAGCGCGAAGCGAGCCCUGAGAUGAGUCUUCCCUGAUACUUUAAGUAUCCUAAAGGGUUGUUCGAGACUAGAACGUUGAUAGGCAGGGUGUGUAAGCGUUGUGAGGCGUUGAGCUAACCUGUACUAAUUGCCCGUGAGGCUUAACCAU
rnacentral:rRNA from 1 species